AAAACUUGUGUGUGUCUGAUAUCGCACACCUGCCCAGAGAAAAAAAGGAAAAGCGCACUGAAGAGAGAGAUAUAAAUUACAUGAAAUCUCUCAGAGGUAAAAGAGAGGAGAGCAAAAAGUUUCUUGGGAUUUUCUUUUAUAUUUGAUAUAGAUUUUCUUUGAUAAAAUAUCUGUCACGGGAUUUAUUGGAUUAAUCGCUUUAUCAAUGUGUAAUGCACUUUCCAUGAAACUAAACUGCGACCAAUAGCGUUGUUUUUCUAUCGUAAUGUUGAAGGUGAUCGGAUUGCUUGCAGUCGGUUUUAUAGCUCAUUGCAUGGUUAAAUGUUAUGUAUUGGUGAAUACGAUUAAUCAAUUUGCGAUAGAAUAUAUAUGUCAUUUAAUAGUUGGCUACAUGUAGACUGUUGUUAGAUGAUAUGUGUGAUUUGUUGUCGAUGGAUUCUAUCUAAAGUCGCAGAAAUUAUGUAGGUUAUCUACUCGUCCCGUCUUGAAACACGGACCAAGGAGUUUUAUAUGAUCGCGAGUCAAAGGGCUUUACGAAACCCCACGGCAUAAUUAAUGUAAAGAUCAAUUUUUGGUUGAUUGAGAUGUGACCAUGGUGUUUGGUUUGGUUAAACAAACCAAAUACCGAGUGCAACAUCUACCCGUCUAAAGGUGUUCGCAUCUGGGCGGAGUUUGAGCGAUCAUGUAGAGACCCGAAAGAUGGUGAACUAUGCUUGUGCAGGUUGAAGUCAGGGGAAACUCUGAUGGAGGACCGAAGCGGUUCUGACGUGCAAAUCGAUCGUCGGACAUGAGUAUAGGGGCGAAAGACUAAUCGAACCCAC
rnacentral:rRNA from 1 species